rnacentral:lncRNA from 1 species
UGUAACAGAGAGAAUACAAAAGUUUCAACAAAAAAAAAAAAAACAGAGAGAAUACAAGUUCUUUUUGGUCAAACAGAGAGAAUACAAGUUAUUUUCGUUUUGAAUAAACUUUUCUCCACAAUAAAGUCAUGUUACAAAAUAAAUAUUUUUGACAAAUAAAAAUCUGUAAUAAUAGAAGAAGAAUAAAUACGAAUAUUUUUUUAAAAAGGUAUGGAAUUAAC